rnacentral:rRNA from 1 species
UACGGAGGGGGCGAGCGUUAUUCGGAAUUAUUGGGCGUAAAGGGCGCGUAGGCGGCUCUUUAAGUCAAAGGUGAAAUCCCUCGGCUCAACUGAGGAACUGCCUUUGAAACUGGGGAGCUUGAGUCCGGGAGGGGGUAGCGGAAUUCCCAGUGUAGCGGUGAAAUGCGUAGAUAUCGGGAGGAACACCUGUGGCGAAAGCGGCGCACUGGACCACAACUGACGCUGAGGCGCGAAAGCAUGGGGAGCGAACAGG